AACGCACCUUGCGCUCCUUGGUAUUCCGAGGAGCAUGCCUGUUUGAGUGUCAUUAAAUUCUCAAUCUUUACAACUUAGUGUUGUCUAGAUUGGAAGUGGGGGCCCCCGUCCUUUGUGUGGAAUCUAAUUCCUCACUCCCCUUAAAUGUAUUAGCUGGAAUGCCUCUGCAUAUCUGACUAUUAGCGUGAUAAUUAUCUAUGCUGUGGUUGUUGCAUGAGGGUAUCUGCUUCAUAAAUCGUCGCAAGACAAUUCUAUAUGACCAUCUUGACCUCAAAUCAGGUAGGACUACCCGCUGAACUUAA
rnacentral:misc_RNA from 1 species